AGUUUGAUCCUGGCUCAGGACGAACGCUGGCGGCGUGCCUAAUACAUGCAAGUCGAGCGGACAGAUGGGAGCUUGCUCCCUGAUGUUAGCGGCGGACGGGUGAGUAACACGUGGGUAACCUGCCUGUAAGACUGGGAUAACUCCGGGAAACCGGGGCUAAUACCGGAUGGUUGUUUGAACCGCAUGGUUCAAACAUAAAAGGUGGCUUCGGCUACCACUUACAGAUGGACCCGCGGCGCAUUAGCUAGUUGGUGAGGUAACGGCUCACCAAGGCAACGAUGCGUAGCCGACCUGAGAGGGUGAUCGGCCACACUGGGACUGAGACACGGCCCAGACUCCUACGGGAGGCAGCAGUAGGGAAUCUUCCGCAAUGGACGAAAGUCUGACGGAGCAACGCCGCGUGAGUGAUGAAGGUUUUCGGAUCGUAAAGCUCUGUUGUUAGGGAAGAACAAGUACCGUUCGAAUAGGGCGGUACCUUGACGGUACCUAACCAGAAAGCCACGGCUAACUACGUGCCAGCAGCCGCGGUAAUACGUAGGUGGCAAGCGUUGUCCGGAAUUAUUGGGCGUAAAGGGCUCGCAGGCGGUUUCUUAAGUCUGAUGUGAAAGCCCCCGGCUCAACCGGGGAGGGUCAUUGGAAACUGGGGAACUUGAGUGCAGAAGAGGAGAGUGGAAUUCCACGUGUAGCGGUGAAAUGCGUAGAGAUGUGGAGGAACACCAGUGGCGAAGGCGACUCUCUGGUCUGUAACUGACGCUGAGGAGCGAAAGCGUGGGGAGCGAACAGGAUUAGAUACCCUGGUAGUCCACGCCGUAAACGAUGAGUGCUAAGUGUUAGGGGGUUU
rnacentral:rRNA from 1 species